UUCAGCAGCCAUACUGCCUGCCGUUCAGACCAAGUAAUCCACUUGAAACUAAGUAGGGUUGGGCCAGGCCAGUACUUGGAUGGGAGACCCAGUAGGAUAGCUGGGUUGCUGCUGGAA
rnacentral:rRNA from 1 species